AGGGGUGUAGCUCAACUGGUAGAGCAUCCGUCUCCAAAAUGGAAGGUUCUGGGUUCGAUCCCUAGCACCCCUG
rnacentral:tRNA from 1 species